CCGCGAUAAGUCACUGCUUCUGGAAUGGGCAAUGACUUAAAUCUAUAUGGCCCCUGGAUUGGACUGCGGCCGAUCAGGCUGUUGGUGAGGUAAUGGCCCACCAAACCUGUAACCGGUACGGGCUCUGAGAGGAGGAGCCCGGAGAUGGGCACUGAGACAAGGGCCCAGGCCCUAUGGGGCGCAGCAGGCGCGAAACCUCUGCAAUAGGCGAAAGCCUGACAGGGUUACUCUGAGUGAUUUCCGUUAAGGAGAUCUUUUGGCACCUCUAAAAAUGGUGCAGAAUAAGGGGUGGGCAAGUCUGGUGUCAGCCGCCGCGGUAAUACCAGCACCCCGAGUGGUCGGGACGUUUAUUGGGCCUAAAGCAUCCGUAGCCGGUUCUGCAAGUCUUCCGUUAAAUCCACCUGCUUAACAGAUGGGCUGCGGAAGAUACUAUAGAGCUAGGAGGCGGGAGAGGCAAGCGGUACUCGAUGGGUAGGGGUAAAAUCCGUUGAUCCAUUGAAGACCACCAGUGGCGAAGGCGGCUUGCCAGAACGCGCUCGACGGUGAGGGAUGAAAGCUGGGGGAGCAAACCGGAUUAGAUACCCGGGUAGUCCCAGCUGUAAACGAUGCAGACUCGGUGAUGAAUUGGCUUUAUGCCAAUUCAGUGCCGCAGGGAAGCCGUUAAGUUUGCCGCCUGGGGAGUACGGUCGCAAGACUGAAACUUAAAG
rnacentral:rRNA from 1 species